rnacentral:rRNA from 1 species
UACAACUCACCUGCCGAAGCAACUAGCCCUGAAAAUGGAUGGCGCUGAAGCGUCGUGCCUAUACCGGGCCGUCAACGGCACAGUGGGUGUCCGCCUCUGGCGAGAACCGUUAAGCCUUGACGAGUAGAAGGGUCGCGGCGGUGUGCGCAGAAGGGUCGGGGCGUGAGCCCGCCUGGAGCCGCCGUCGGCGCAGAUCUUGGUGGUAGUAGCAAAUACUCUAGCGAGGCCCUGGAGGACUGAGGUGGAGAAGGGUUUCUUGUGAACAGCCGUUGCACAAGAGUCAGUCGUCCCUAAGUCCUAGGAGAAAUCCGAUGUCGAUGGGUGGCUACGACAAGCGCACAGUUUGUCCAAAGUGUUUGACGGCUCGCCCGUCGAACCUGUGCACGAAGCCCCGUCCGUCUUCGACGGCGCGGGCCUGCCGGGGACACAUUGAAACAACUGCCCUCGACGUUCAAAAGGGAAUCCGGUUCCUAUUCCGGAACCCGGCAGCGGAACCGCCCUCGGCGGGCACUCGCCUGCGAGCGCUCGACGGGGUAACCCAAACUGGCCCGGAGACGCCGGCGGGGGGUCUUGAAAGAGUUUUCUUUUCUUUAUAAGCGUUCGAGUACCCUGGAAUCCUAUAGCAGGGAGAUAGGGUAUGGAGCGCGAAGAGCACCGCAGUUGCGGCGGUGUCAGGGCUUCCCCCCCGGACCUUGAAAAUCUGGGUGAGGGCUACGCGGAUGUCGCGCCGGGACGUACCCAUAUCCGCAGCUGGUCUCCAAGGUAAAGAGCCUCUAGUCGAUAGAAUAAUGUAGGUAAGGGAAGUCGGGCAAACGAUCCGUAACUUCGGAACAAGGAUUGGCUCUGAGGAUCGGGGCGUGUCGGGCUUGGUAGGGAAGCGGGUCUGUGCCAACGUGCCGGGCCUGGGCGAGGAGGAAGUUGGUCGACGGAGCAAUCCUGACGCCUUCAGAAUCCCAGCUCGGUCCCGAGCCUUGGCCUCCCGCGGAUCUUCCUUGCUGCGGGGUGUCGGCUGUUCUAGUUGCGACGGGCUCUCGGGUCCUCGUGGACGGGCCGAAUUUAUCCCUUCGGCCGCCAUUCAACGAUCAGCUCAGAACUGGCACGGACCGGGAGAAUCCGACUGUCUAAUUAAAGCAAAGCAUUGCGAUGGCUCUAGCUGAGUGUUUACGCAAUGUGAUUUCUGCCCAGUGCUCUGAAUGUCAAAGUGAAGAAAUUCAAGCAAGCGCGGGUAAACGGCGGGAGUAACUAUGACUCUCUUAAGGUAGCCAAANNCCUCGUCAUCNAAUUAGUGACGCGCAUGAAUGGAUUAACGAGAUUCUCACUGUCCCUAUCUACUAUCUAGCGAAACCACUGCCAAGGGAACGGGCUUGGAAAAAUUAGCGGGGAAAGAAGACCCUGUUGAGCUUGACUCUAGUCUGGCACUGUAAGGAGACAUGAGAGGUGUAGCAUAAGUGGGAGACGGCGGGCCACAAGCUUGUCCGUUCGACGGUGAAAUACCACUACUUUCAUCGUUUCCUUACUUACUCGGAUAGGCGGAGAGCGCGCCCGUCAUGGGUAUUUCCCAGGCGGGCCGGUAUUCUCGCACCAAGCGUCCGAGGGUUGCCGGACAGCUGUCCGAGAGGGUGUUUGUCCGUGCGGGAAAGUGGCUGUCUCCGCAAGGGGAAAGUCGCCGACCCCCGGCUUGCACCUGGAACGGGCUCUGCUCACCGGCAAACACUCCCUCGCGUGAUCCGAUUCGAGGACACAGCCAGGCGGGGAGUUUGACUGGGGCGGUACAUCUGUCAAAUGAUAACGCAGGUGUCCUAAGGCCAGCUCAGCGAGGACAGAAACCUCGCGUAGAGCAAAAGGGCAAAUGCUGGUUUGAUCCCGAUGUCCAGUACGCAUAGGGACUGCGAAAGCACGGCCUGUCGAUCCUUUUGGCUUGAAGAGAUUUCAGCAAGAGGUGU